AAACAUGUCUAUAAGCUAAAAUUUUUAGUCGCACCUGCACACUGAAAAUUAAAGAGCUGUGGUAUCCUAACCAUACAAAGGUAGCAUAAUACAUUGUUUUUUAAUUGGAAACUUGAAUGAAAGGUCAAAUGAAUAAAAACUUUUACUUUAAGCUAUAAAAAAUUAAUUAUUUCAGUAAAAAAUCUGAAGAAUAUUAAAAGACGAUAAGACCCUAUAAAAUUUUAUUAAUUAUGUGAAGAUCAGGUAUAACAAAGAAUAAUUUUAUUGGGGUAAUAAAAAUAUAAAUAAUUUAACUGUUUUUAAUUAAACAUUUAUACAUGUAAAAAUUAGACCUUUAAUAAAGCUUAAGAACAAAUUACUUUAGGGAUAACAGCGUAAUUUUAUUUAAAGAUCUAAUUAAAAAUAAAGUUUGCGACCUCGAUGUUGAAUUAAGAGAAUCAAGGGGGA
rnacentral:rRNA from 1 species